rnacentral:rRNA from 1 species
AAAUCCUUGGUGGGUUCGCCCACCACUAGGACAAACAUAAACCUUUUGUAAUUGCAAUCAGCGUCAGUAAAAAUUAAUAAUUACAACUUUCAACAACGGAUCUCUUGGUUCUGGCAUCGAUGAAGAACGCAGCGAAAUGCGAUAAGUAGUGUGAAUUGCAGCGCUUCAGUGAAUCAUCGAAUCUUUGAACGCACAUUGCGCCCUUUGGUAUCCAAAGGGCAUGCCUGUUCGAGCGUCAUUUGUACCCUCAAGCUUUGCUUGGUGUUGGGCGUCUUGUCUCUAGCUUUGCUGGAGACUCGCCUUAAAGUAAUUGGCAGCCGGCCUACUGGUUUCGGAGCGCAGCACAAGUCGCACUCUCUAUCAGCAAAGGUCUAGCAUCCAUUAAGCCUUUUUUCAACUUUUGACCUCGGAUCAGGUAGGGAUACCCGCUGAGGG